AAAAGUAAAAACCUUAUACCUUCCAUUUUCUCUCUCUUCUCUGCAAAAGUAUUCUGUUCUAUUUCAGAUUCAAAAAUAAAAAAUCUGAAUAUACUUAGUCAACUAAUCAAUUCUCUUCAACCAACUAAUUAAAACCUUUAUUACCUUCAGAAACAACAUUAAUCGACAAACACAUAAUCAAUUUCAUCAAAACAAUCAACAAUAAACUUUGGUACUCACCAGAAAAUUUUCACAAAAAUCCUAAAAAUGGUGAAAUCAAAGAUGAAUUCACAAUCAAGAGCAGAUUAAAACAAGCAGGUAGUUGUAGUUCAAGAGGAAUCGAAUGUUCAAGAAGAAUGUGAACAAGAGAUUGAAGGAGGAUGUAGAGAACAAGAAAACGAAAAAGAUUUGAGAUAAAAAUUGGUGAAGAGAUGAUCUGUUGCUGCAAAAAUAGGUGAUUUAGGGUUCUGUCAAUUAGAGAAGAAGGUUUGGAUCGUGUUUCGGGUGGUGAUUAUAUGGCGAUGGGAUGGAGAAGGUGCUAAAUCAGGUUGUUGUGGUUGAAAAUCAAGAAUUAGGGUUCUCUGAUAUUGGAGAAAUUAGUGUUUGAGAAGGAAGAGAUUCAUGAAAUUGAAGAUGGGUUUUACUUGAUUUGAGUUUUAGCCCCAAUAUUUGUUAGAGAUUGAGAUGAUUUUACUGAAGCUGAUGUUGCUGAUGAAAUUGGAGUUAGGGUUCAUAGAUUUGUGUUAAAUGAAUAAAAAGGGGUGUUGGUAUGUAAAAAAUAUUUAAUGGCCGCAAGUUGGAAGAAUUUGAAGUUGAAACAUAGAGGAGAUAUGAGUUUUGAAUGGAGGAAGAAAUGAUGAUUGCAAAGACGGCUGUAGAGUUGGAGAUGGAUCUGUAAUGCUGAGAAAAGACGGGUGUUAUUGAUGUCAAAGAAUAUAGUGGUGACAAGGAAAUGGUAUGUGUUGGUUAUUGAAGCAGCAAAUGGUUGUAGAUGGUGGCAUGGUUGUUGCUGUUGCCAUUGAGAUGAACUGAUGAUAUUUUCUUGAGAAUGAUUGAGAUGAUAUGGAUGGCAAGGUCGCCUGCAUAGACUAAUAUGGAUUUUUUUUCUUCUAUAUAUGCACGACCAUAAAUUUACCAUUUUUGUGAUUGCAAUGACAAGGUAAAAAUUUGUCUCUGUUAAUGGAAUGGAACUGCAAGGGCGGAACUA